AUGGCUGUCGUCAGCUCGUGUCGUGAGAUGUUGGGUUAAGUCCCGCAACGAGCGCAACCCUCAUCCCUAGUUGCCAUCAUUAAGUUGGGCACUCUAAGGAAACUGCCGGUGAUAAGCCGGAGGAAGGUGGGGAUGACGUCAAGUCCUCAUGGCCCUUACGCGCUGGGCUACACACGUGCUACAAUGGCGGUGACAGUGGGCAGCAACCUCGCGAGAGGUAGCUAAUCUCCAAAAGCCGUCUCAGUUCGGAUUGUUCUCUGCAACUCGAGAGCAUGAAGGCGGAAUCGCUAGUAAUCGCGGAUCAGCAUGCCGCGGUGAAUACGUUCCCAGGCCUUGUACACACCGCCCGU
rnacentral:rRNA from 1 species